AAAAUAAGAGGUCCUNCCUGCCCUGUGANUAUAAGUUUAACGGCCGCGGUAUUUUANCCGUGUGAAGGUAGCGAAAUCACUUGUCCUUUAAAUGAAGASCAGUAUGAAUGGCAAGACGAGGGCUUAACUGUCUCSUYUUUCAAGUCAAUGAAAUUGAUCUSUCCGUGCAGAAGCGGGGAUDUGAACAUAAGACGAGAAGACCCUGUGGAGCUUUAGACAUAGGACAAGUCAUGUUAAGUACCCCUAGAUAAGCCGAACUAAGUGAAACCUUGCUCUGGUGUCUUUGGUUGGGGCGACCACGGGGAAGAAAGAAACCCCCACGUGGAGUGAGAACACUUAUUCUCACAACCAAGAGCUACGGCUCUAAGCAACAGAAUAUCUGACCUUAAGAUCCGGCUAUCUAUGCCGAUCAACGAACCUAGUUACCCCAGGGAUAACAGCGCAAUCCCCUUUUAGAGUCCAUAUCGACAAGGGGGUUUACGACCUCGAUGUUGGAUC
rnacentral:rRNA from 1 species